rnacentral:misc_RNA from 1 species
CUACAGAAAAAUCCGAUCUGUGUCAAUACUUUUGUUCAUCAUUGUAUAUUAGACAGUAAAUCAUCGUUUAACAAAGUCAUGUCAGAUCGAACAAGAAAAGUCUUUUAUUGAGAAAGAUACUUCGAUUUUUCAUGGGUGGAAUUGAGAUUAAUGUUCGGAAUGUGUUUUCGAAAGGAAUUGGAACAUCGGAAAUGUUCAGUGAAUCGUUUGUGCAGCAUCGGAUCAGAAGUGAGGAUUUCUUUUUGACGAUGAAAUAAACGUACACGAACGAUUUGCGUGUGCUGUCGCUCGACAGCGAGAUGCAACGCGGUCUGCAAAUUGACGUUUUGCAAAUCCAGGUCAGCUUUUCCAGCACGUGCCAGCUGUUCAGCAACUUCGACGUGAUUGUUCAGAGCAGCCAGAUGAAGGGCCGUGUAACCAUCGUCCUUUUUCUCGUCAACUAUCCAUGGUCUCGGAAGUUUCGAGAGGAGCACCCGCAUUGCGCUGCAAUCAAAAGAAAAAUAUCACGUUUAAAAUACCACCAUCUAUGACUGUGUUGCCUGUGGACCCCAUGGACAGUCUUUCCUCGGGGCUACAGCCGGAAAGAGAUGUGACAGCUGCCUUUUGACAGGACCUCCUCGAGGUACCAGCACCGCUGUGGCACGAUAGCUAUGCAUAUGUUUAUUCUACGCACGUGUAUAUGGUAAAAUCAUCUUUCACAUGGCUAGCACGAACGACUCAAUUACAAUGGAUAACAUUUUCCGUAACGACAACUAAAAGAAAGGAACGGAGGAAAUACUAUUUGCACGAUUAACGGAAACAGUCCAUUACUCGCAUCGACUCGUAUAAUUGUCGCUUUACCGCAGAAUCGAUUUGCUCGCGGGUAACAGCCCUUUUCCCCGUUCUAUUCGAUUUCUCAGCGUCAUUACGCAUUUUACGUCUCUCCGUUUGCGCCUGGAAGACCGCCAUCGAAGACUAUAAAAUUUUUAUGCUGCUUCGCUGGCGUAUUUUUUUAUUAAGCCCGGUCUACGAUGGCUCGCAACGCGUUUUCCAGUGCAACCGCAGUUACGAGAUCGCGGAAAAAUUCGCCAAUUUUACCGGUAUAAAUAUUCAAAAGGGAUCGGCCACGGUAUUAUGACGUUAAAAGCUGUAAAUAGUUUAAUAUUAAUUAAG